rnacentral:snRNA from 1 species
GGAUGUGGGGGCAAUCUGGCUGUGACAUCUGUCACCCCACUGACUGCCAGGGUUGAUUCAGCUGAUCUGGCUGGCUAGACAAGUAUCCCCCUUCCUCCCUCACCAUUCCAUGUGGAAACACCCCCGAAGCUGCAGGUUGGGUCAAAGAAGACAACCUUCCCCAGUAGAGGAGAACUGUUUUUCAGUCAAGGGUAUACAAGUAGCUGCAUUCCCCUACUAGAACCUCCAAACAAGCUCUCAAGGUCCAUUUGUAGGAGAAUGUAGGGUAGUCAAGCUUUUAAGACUCUAGACCACAUCCAAAUGAGGCCCUGCAUGUGGCCCUUUCUUU